CCAUGAAUGGAAAUUAAUAGGAUACGAGAAGCACAUGGUGGAGGUUUAGUUUGGUGUCCCCUCUCUCUGACAGCUGAGGGAUCACUGCAAGGAAGCAGUCUGCAGAGCCCAGACUGCAUUAUUGGGUCUUGGAGAAAGGGCUUCCUUUGUUCCUCUGCAUGUCUGACUUUCUUCAGCUGGGAAAGAGUGGCUGUGCGAUGUAUUCUCACAGGUUUUCUUGGAUCAUCUGUUUAUUGUUACCGUUUCAUCCUCUUUUGAAAAAGAGGAGCAAAGAAGGCAGAAGACCAGGAGUUCAGAAAGCCACCCAGAGGCUGCGCUAACCUUCCCAGGACAAACACCUGGAUAAAACCUAGAGACAGAGGAACGCAGGAGCACAUGUGGCCACGGAAGGAUGGAAAGGAGUAAUAAGAGCAAAAAGAAGAUGCAGAUCAGUUUUCCUUUGCUCUCCAUAAUGUCAUUUAAUCUGUAGAGUAUUGGGUGACCGCCACUAACCCUUGCCUCUUCUCAGUGUCUGCACGCAGAAGUUUCAUUAUCUUUCUCAUGUCUGUGGGAGGACUGUGAUAACAAGCAGAAAGAGAUGCAGAAACCCCCAGGCUUAUUUUGGUUUUAGAAUUUUAUAUUCAGCCUCCCCAGCUUGACUCAGCCCAAAGACUCCCCCAAAUCCAGGCAGUUUGGUCACGUCCCCCAGUUCUACAGGGUUCUUCAAAAGAGAUGAUAGAUGGAUUCAAAUCCAAAAUACUAGACUUCAGGACAGAAAUUGCCUUUUUUUUUUUUUUUUUUUUUUUUUUUUUUUUUUUGCCUCAGUGCUGUAACAAACUUCAAAGGGUUACAGACUUCAGAGGGUACUUGGAAAAAUAUCCAGAGAGGAGUCUUUCAUUGGAAUAUGCAGUUUUGCUAAAGUUCAGACUCAGAAAAUGUUCUGUUGGAAUUGAAUUUUGGGGUAGAAGAGGGAGAAUCUGCCUCUGGCUUAGAACGAAGCUUAACAAUGUGACUUUUAUUUUAAAGUAUUGUGCAUAAAUACUUUGAGUGAAAAUCCAGAGGGAACAUUUGUGUCCAAGUGGUUUUGUUGGAAAACAAACAAACAAAACAAACAAACAAACAAAACCCAACACAUUUAAACCCCUUGCAGUGUCCACCAGCAGAAACCUGUAUAGUUUCAGGAGGCUGGGAUUGUGUUUUUUUUUCUAGGGAUUAUUUCGAAGGGUACUUCCAGCUGCUGCCCAGCUCUGCACUGACCUCCACAGAUAACUCCAGCUCUGGUUUGCUCAGGGGGGUCAAGAUAAAGGGGAAUUAGUGCAUGCUCCUUGUUGUGACAGUAAGAGGACAGAGAGAAAUAGGGUGUCGUCCUUCCACCCAGUCCUUGUGCCCACAACCCUGUGACCUGACUGAGCCAACUUUCCCCCAUCUGCAGCUGGGGCACAGUGUAGGGAAGUAAA